rnacentral:rRNA from 1 species
ACGUAGGGGGCGAGCGUUGUCCGGAAUUACUGGGCGUAAAGGGCGUGUAGGCGGCUUUUCAAGUCGGCUGUGAAAUUCCCCGGCUUAACCGGGGGGGUGCAGUCGAAACUGAUGGGCUUGAGUGCAGGAGAGGGUGGUGGAAUUCCCGGUGUAGCGGUGACAUGCGUAGAUAUCGGGAGGAACACCGGUGGCGAAGGCGACCUCCUGGCCUGUUACUGACGCUGAGGCGCGAAAGCUGGGGGAGCAAACAGGAUUAGAUACCCUGGUAGUCCCAGCUGUAAACUCUGGGUACUAGGUGUGGGGGGCUUCGAUGCCCUCUGUGCCGUAGUUAACGCAUUAAGUACCCCGCCUGGGGAGUACGAUCGCAAGGUUGAAACUCAAAGGAAUUGACGGGGGCCCGCACAAGCGGUGGAGCAUGUGGUUUAAUUCGAUGCAACGCGAAGAACCUUACCAGGGCUUGACAUCUACCUGGCGGUCUUUGGAAACAGAGGCUUUCCUUCGGGACGGGUAGACAGGUGGUGCAUGGCU